GCUCCUAUAGUCUAGCGGUUAGGACGUCGGAUUCUGAUUCCGAAAACAUAGGUUCGAUUCCUGUUAGGAGCU
rnacentral:tRNA from 6 species